GUCGAUUCAAGCAGUGGUUGUUGGUGUGGUUGCCAGCGUGUUCCAAGAGAACGCGUGUCGGUUUGAUGCCUCCCUGAUUACGUUUCUUGAUCGUUCCUGCACUUCGGGGCGCAAGCCCGCAAUUCUUUAUAUGGAACGCAAAAUGAGCACUCAAACCGGUACCGUCAAGUGGUUCAACGACGCCAAGGGCUUCGGCUUCAUCACCCCGGAAGGCGGCGGCGACGACCUCUUCGCCCACUUCUCGGAAAUCCAGAGCAAGGGUUUCAAGAGCCUGGCCGAAAACCAGCGCGUCGAAUUCGAAGUCAAGACCGGCCCCAAGGGCCUGCAGGCGGCCAACAUCCGCCCGCUGUAAUCGACCCGACGUCCUCGACGUCGAUCGAUUGAUUCAAAACGCGGCCCUGCGCCGCGUUUUUGC
rnacentral:sRNA from 1 species